GGUCGGGGAUUAGCUCGGCGCUGCCGAGGCUCAGCGAGGAGCGGGAGGAGGAGGUCGACGAGGAGGAGAAAGAGCAACGGCAGAGCGGCAGUCAGCGCACGCCGCUGCCUGGGGGAAACAGAGGCGCCCGAAGCUGGGGCGCCGCGCACGCCCCGGGAGCCAUGGCCGAAGCCGGAGAAGGAGGCGAGGAUGAGAUCCAGUUCCUGCGGACUGAGGAUGAAGUGGUACUCCAGUGCAUAGCAAACAUCCACAAGGAGCAGCGGAAGUUCUGCCUGGCAGCCGAGGGCCUUGGGAAUCGCCUGUGCUUCUUGGAACCCACCUCAGAAGCCAAGUACAUCCCUCCAGAUCUCUGUGUCUGCAAUUUCGUGCUGGAACAGUCCUUAUCUGUCAGAGCACUGCAAGAAAUGCUUGCCAACACCGUUGAAAAUGGCGGAGAAGGGGCAGCACAAGGGGGUGGCCACAGGACCCUGCUGUACGGUCACGCAAUUCUCCUGAGGCACUCUUUCAGUGGAAUGUAUCUAACAUGCUUGACCACGUCAAGAUCCCAGACAGAUAAACUUGCCUUUGAUGUAGGUCUGCGGGAACAUGCCACAGGAGAAGCCUGCUGGUGGACCAUACAUCCCGCCUCCAAACAGAGGUCUGAAGGAGAGAAAGUGCGAAUCGGAGAUGACCUGAUCCUCGUCAGUGUGUCCUCUGAAAGAUACCUUCAUCUCUCGAUAUCAAAUGGUAGCAUACAGGUGGAUGCCUCCUUUAUGCAAACACUCUGGAAUGUGCAUCCUACGUGUUCGGGAAGCAGCAUCGAAGAAGGAUACUUACUUGGUGGGCACGUAGUUCGUCUUUUCCAUGGUCAUGAUGAGUGUUUGACGAUACCGUCGACAGACCAGAAUGACUCUCAGCACAGGAGGGUGUUCUAUGAAGCUGGAGGAGCUGGGACCAGAGCCAGGUCUCUAUGGAGAGUGGAACCCCUUCGGAUAAGCUGGAGUGGCAGUAACAUCAGGUGGGGCCAAGCUUUCCGGCUCCGGCAUCUCACCACCGGCCAUUACCUGGCCUUGACAGAGGACCAAGGCCUUCUUCUACAAGACCGGGGAAAGUCGGACACCAAGUCCACAGCCUUCUCCUUCCGGGCAUCAAAGGAAAUCAAGGAGAAAUCGGAUUCCAGUCACAAGAGAGAUAUGGAAGGCAUGGGCGUUCCAGAAAUCAAGUAUGGUGAUUCUGUCUGCUUUGUCCAGCAUGUAGCCAGUGGCCUUUGGGUCACCUACAAAGCACAAGAUGCCAAAACUUCCCGCCUGGGACCUCUGAAGAGAAAGGUCAUACUCCAUCAGGAAGGCCACAUGGAUGAUGGAUUAACACUGCAGAGGUGCCAGCGGGAGGAGUCCCAGGCUGCUCGCAUCAUCAGGAACACAACAGCCUUAUUCAGCCAGUUCGUCAGUGGAAACAAUCGCACAGCUGCCCCUGUCACCUUGCCAAUCGAAGAGGUCCUGCAGACCCUCCACGACUUGAUUGCCUACUUCCAGCCACCAGAGGAGGAGAUGCAACAUGAAGACAAACAGAAUAAGCUCCGGUCUCUCAAAAACAGACAGAAUCUUUUCAAGGAGGAGGGAAUGUUGGCCCUGGUAUUGAAUUGCAUUGAUCGCUUAAAUAUCUACAAUAGCGUAGCACACUUUGCAGGGAUCGCAAGGGAAGAGAGUGGCAUGGCCUGGAAAGAAAUUCUAAACCUGUUGUACAAGUUGCUAGCUGCUCUCAUCCGUGGAAACAGAAACAACUGUGCCCAAUUCUCCAAUAACCUUGAUUGGUUAAUUAGUAAACUGGACAGACUAGAAUCUUCCUCAGGUAUCUUGGAGGUCUUGCACUGCAUCUUGAUUGAAAGCCCAGAAGCCUUAAACCUGAUAGCAGAGGGUCACAUCAAGUCCAUCAUCUCCCUCCUGGACAAGCACGGGCGGAAUCACAAGGUUCUCGAUGUCCUGUGUUCCCUCUGUCUCUGCAAUGGGGUCGCAGUAAGAGCCAACCAGAAUCUGAUCUGUGACAACCUACUACCCCGGAGGAACCUGCUCCUGCAGACACGGCUAAUUAAUGAUGUCACCAGUAUCCGGCCAAACAUCUUCCUGGGAGUGGCUGAAGGCUCGCCACAGUACAAGAAGUGGUACUUUGAGUUGAUUAUCGACCAGGUGGACCCUUUCCUAACUGCAGAGCCCACGCAUCUGCGAGUGGGCUGGGCCUCCUCCUCUGGCUAUGCCCCCUACCCUGGAGGUGGAGAAGGAUGGGGAGGCAAUGGUGUCGGCGAUGACCUGUACUCCUAUGGCUUUGACGGACUUCAUCUUUGGUCAGGCCGGAUACCCAGAGCUGUGGCCUCCAUCAACCAGCAUCUGCUGAAGUCAGAUGAUGUGGUGAGCUGCUGCCUUGACCUUGGAGUACCCAGCAUUUCUUUCCGAAUCAACGGGCAACCUGUGCAGGGGAUGUUUGAGAAUUUCAACACAGAUGGACUCUUCUUCCCUGUGAUGAGCUUUUCAGCUGGUGUCAAAGUACGCUUCCUGAUGGGUGGUCGGCAUGGAGAAUUUAAGUUUCUGCCUCCCUCUGGCUAUGCCCCUUGCUAUGAAGCCCUACUGCCAAAGGAGAAAAUGAGAUUGGAGCCUGUCAAAGAAUAUAAACGUGAUGCAGAUGGUGUCAGGGAUCUGUUGGGUACCACUCAGUUCCUCUCCCAAGCCUCUUUCAUCCCUUGUCCCAUAGACACCAGUCAGGUUGUUUUGCCACUUCACCUAGAGAAGAUCCGAGACAGGCUGGCUGAAAAUAUCCACGAGCUUUGGGGAAUGAAUAAAAUCGAACUUGGCUGGACUUUUGGCAAAAUACGAGAUGACAACAAAAGACAACACCCCUGCCUUGUAGAGUUUUCAAAGCUCCCUGAAACUGAGAAGAACUACAACCUGCAAAUGUCAACGGAAACCUUGAAAACCCUGCUGGCCCUGGGGUGCCACAUUGCUCACGUUAACCCGUCUGCUGAAGAGGAUCUCAAGAGAGUCAAACUGCCCAAAAACUAUAUGAUGUCCAAUGGGUACAAGCCAGCUCCUUUGGAUUUAUCUGAUGUUAAGCUGUUACCACCUCAAGAAAUUUUAGUGGAUAAGCUUGCAGAGAAUGCACACAAUGUUUGGGCAAAGGACAGAAUAAAACAAGGAUGGACCUAUGGCAUUCAACAGGAUUUGAAGAACAAAAGAAAUCCCCGUCUGGUGCCAUAUGUAUUACUGGAUGAGCGCACCAAGAAAUCAAAUAGGGACAGCCUGCGGGAAGCUGUACGGACGUUUGUUGGUUAUGGAUAUAACAUCGAGCCAUCAGACCAAGAACUAGUAGCUGACCCCACUGUUGAGAAGGUCAGCAUAGACAAGAUUCGAUUUUUCCGGGUAGAGCGGUCAUAUGCAGUAAAGUCUGGAAAGUGGUACUUUGAAUUCGAAGUGGUCACCGGAGGAGAUAUGCGUGUCGGCUGGGCCAGGCCAGGCUGUCGUCCUGACAUUGAACUGGGGGCUGAUGACCAAGCCUUUGUGUUUGAAGGCAGCAGGGGUCAGCGUUGGCACCAAGGUAGCGGGUAUUUUGGACGAACCUGGCAGCCAGGAGAUGUGGUUGGGUGUAUGAUUAACCUGGAUGAUGCUUCCAUGAUCUUCACACUGAAUGGGGAGCUACUGAUCACCAACAAAGGCUCUGAACUUGCCUUCGCUGACUAUGAGAUUGAGAACGGGUUUGUGCCCAUUUGCUCUCUGGGGCUGUCACAGAUUGGCCGCAUGAAUCUUGGGACAGAUGCCAGUACCUUCAAAUUUUAUACCAUGUGUGGCCUCCAGGAGGGCUUUGAGCCUUUCGCGGUAAAUAUGAACCGAGACGUGGCAGUGUGGUUCAGCAAGCGCCUCCCAACAUUCGUGAAUGUGCCCAAGGAUCAUCCCCACAUAGAGGUUGUGAGGAUUGAUGGCACCAUGGACAGCCCUCCGUGCCUCAAGGUGACCCACAAGACAUUCGGCACACAGAACAGCAAUGCCAACAUGAUCUACUGCCGCCUGAGCAUGCCUGUCGAAUGUCACUCCUCUUUCAGCCACAGCCCUUGUCUAGACAGUGAAGCCUUCCAGAAGAGGAAACAGAUGCAAGAAAUACUCUCUCAAACAACAACGCAAUGCUACUACGCUAUCCGCAUUUUUGCUGGGCAGGAUCCAUCGUGUGUCUGGGUUGGAUGGGUGACUCCGGACUACCAUUUGUACAGUGAAAAGUUUGACCUGAAUAAAAACUGUACCGUGACUGUCACUCUGGGAGAUGAAAGAGGCCGGGUCCAUGAAAGUGUGAAACGCAGCAACUGCUACAUGGUCUGGGGUGGGGACAUUGUUGCUAGUUCCCAAAGAUCAAGUCGAAGCAAUGUAGACCUAGAGAUUGGCUGCCUUGUAGAUCUGGCAAUGGGCAUGUUGUCCUUCUCAGCCAAUGGGAAGGAACUCGGUACCUGCUACCAGGUGGAGCCUAACACCAAAGUAUUCCCAGCAGUCUUCCUCCAGCCUACAAGCACUUCUUUGUUUCAGUUUGAACUUGGAAAACUGAAGAAUGCAAUGCCCUUGUCCGCAGCCAUAUUUAAGAGUGAAGAGAAGAACCCUACCCCACAGUGUCCACCUCGGCUGGAUGUCCAAACCAUCCAGCCCGUGCUGUGGAGUCGCAUGCCCAGCAGCUUCCUCAAAGUGGAGACAGAGCGGGUGAGCGAGCGCCACGGCUGGGUGGUGCAGUGCCUAGAACCCCUGCAAAUGAUGGCACUCCACAUCCCGGAGGAGAACAGGUGUGUGGACAUCCUUGAGCUCUGUGAGCAGGAGGACCUGAUGCAGUUCCAUUAUCACACACUUAGGCUCUACAGUGCCGUGUGUGCCCUGGGGAACAGCCGGGUUGCCUAUGCCCUGUGCAGCCACGUGGACCUCUCUCAGCUCUUCUAUGCCAUUGACAACAAGUACUUGCCUGGCCUCCUCCGAGCCGGUUUCUAUGACCUGCUCAUUAGCAUCCACCUGGCCAACGCUAAGGAGAGGAAGCUGAUGAUGAAGAAUGAGUACAUCAUCCCCAUCACCAACACCACCAGGAAUAUCCGCCUAUACCCAGAUGAGUCCAAGAGGCAUGGGCUGCCUGGGGUGGGCCUAAGGACGUGCCUUAAGCCAGGCUUCAGGUUCUCGACUCCUUGCUUCGUGGUAACUAAUGAGGAGCAUCAGAAGCAGAGCCCUGAGAUUCCCCUGGAGAUCCUCAAAACCAAGGCUCUGAGCAUGCUGACGGAGGCCGUGCACUGUAGCGGGGCCCACAUCCGAGACCCUGUUGGCGGCUCAGUGGAGUUCCAGUUUGUGCCUGUGCUGAAGCUCAUUGGAACCCUGCUAGUCAUGGGCGUUUUUGAUGAUGACGAUGUCCGUCAGAUCCUCCUCUUGAUUGAUCCCUCUGUGUUUGGGGAGCACAGCGGGGAGACAGAGGAGGGAACAGAAAAAGAAGUGACCCAAGUCGAGGAAAAGGCAGUGGAGGCUGGAGAAAAAGCCAGCAAGGAGGCUCCGGUCAAAGGCUUGCUGCAGACCCGAUUGCCCGAGUCUGUUAAGCUGCAGAUGUGUGAACUCCUCAGCUACCUCUGUGACUGUGAACUGCAGCAUCGAGUAGAGGCUAUUGUGGCAUUUGGUGACAUUUAUGUGUCCAAGCUUCAGGCAAAUCAGAAAUUCCGCUACAAUGAGCUCAUGCAGGCCCUGAACAUGUCUGCAGCCCUAACUGCCCGGAAGACACGGGAGUUCCGCUCACCACCUCAGGAGCAGAUCAACAUGCUCCUCAACUUUCACCUUGGAGAGAACUGCCCCUGCCCGGAGGAGAUCCGCGAGGAGCUGUAUGACUUCCAUGAGGACCUUCUGGUGCACUGUGGGGUUCCCUUGGAGGAAGAAGAAGAGGAGGAGGAGGACACAUCCUGGACAGGAAAACUGCGUGCUUUGGUGUAUAAAAUUAAGGGUCCACCCAAGCCAGAGAGGGAGCAACCAACAGAAGAAGAGGAACGGUAUCCUACAACACUGAAGGAACUAGUCUCCCAGACAAUGAUCCGCUGGGCCCAGGAGAACCAAAUCCAGGAUGCAGAGUUGGUGAGGAUUAUGUUCAACCUCCUCCGGAGACAGUAUGACAGCAUCGGGGAGUUACUACAGGCCUUGCGGAAGACCUACACCAUCAGCCAGGCCUCCGUGAGCGACACCAUCAACCUGCUGGCUGCCCUGGGCCAGAUUCGGUCCCUCCUCAGUGUCAGGAUGGGCAAGGAAGAGGAGCUUCUCAUGAUCAACGGGCUGGGGGACAUAAUGAACAACAAGGUCUUUUACCAGCACCCCAACCUAAUGAGAGUCCUUGGCAUGCAUGAGACGGUGAUGGAGGUGAUGGUGAACGUGUUGGGUACAGAGAAAUCACAGAUUGCCUUCCCCAAAAUGGUUGCUAGCUGCUGUCGCUUCCUUUGCUAUUUCUGUCGAAUUAGCCGGCAAAAUCAGAAGGCCAUGUUUGAGCAUCUAAGCUACCUGCUGGAGAACAGCAGUGUGGGCCUAGCUUCCCCAUCAAUGAGGGGGUCCACCCCACUGGACGUGGCAGCCUCCUCGGUGAUGGACAACAACGAGUUAGCACUGGGCUUGGAAGAACCAGAUCUUGAAAAGGUGGUAACCUACUUGGCAGGUUGUGGCCUUCAGAGCUGCCCCAUGCUUCUGGCCAAAGGAUACCCGGACGUUGGCUGGAACCCCAUUGAAGGGGAACGUUACCUGUCCUUCCUGAGGUUUGCCGUCUUCGUGAACAGUGAAAGUGUAGAGGAAAACGCCAGUGUUGUGGUCAAGCUGCUCAUCCGACGUCCUGAGUGCUUUGGGCCGGCUCUGAGGGGUGAAGGAGGAAACGGACUGCUGGCAGCCAUGCAGGGGGCUAUUAAGAUCUCAGAGAACCCUGCGCUCGACCUCCCCUCCCAGGGUUACAAGACAGAAGUCACAGAGGAUGACGAGGAGGAGGAAGAGAUUGUGCACAUGGGCAAUGCCAUUAUGUCGUUUUAUUCGGCUCUUAUUGAUCUACUGGGCCGCUGUGCUCCUGAAAUGCAUCUCAUUCAAACAGGGAAAGGGGAAGCCAUCCGAAUCCGGUCCAUCCUGCGCUCCUUGGUCCCCACAGAAGACCUGGUUGGAAUCAUCAGCAUCCCCCUGAAACUGCCCUCCCUAAACAAAGAUGGAUCAGUCAGCGAGCCGGACAUGGCAGCCAACUUCUGCCCUGACCACAAGGCACCCAUGGUGCUGUUUUUGGACCGUGUGUAUGGCAUUAAAGAUCAAACCUUCCUGCUCCACUUGCUGGAAGUUGGGUUUUUGCCUGACCUACGAGCAUCUGCAUCCCUAGAUACAGUGUCCCUCAGCACCACCGAGUCUGCACUGGCUCUCAACAGGUACAUAUGUUCGGCUGUGCUCCCACUCCUUACUAGAUGCGCCCCUCUCUUUUCUGGGACAGAGCACUGCACCUCUCUGAUUGAUUCUACACUGCAGACAAUAUACAGGCUUUCCAAAGGACGGUCCCUCACCAAGGCACAGAGGGACACCAUAGAAGAAUGUUUGCUUGCCAUUUGCAAUCACUUGAGACCUUCCAUGUUACAGCAACUCCUACGACGUCUGGUUUUUGAUGUGCCGCUGCUCAGCGAGUACUGCAAAAUGCCUCUUAAGCUUCUGACCAAUCACUAUGAGCAGUGCUGGAAGUAUUACUGCCUGCCUUCGGGAUGGGGGAGCUAUGGGCUAGCCGUGGAGGAGGAACUGCACCUCACUGAGAAGCUCUUCUGGGGGAUUUUUGACUCCCUCUCCCACAAGAAAUAUGACCUGGAUCUUUUCCGAAUGGCCCUGCCGUGUCUCAGUGCGAUUGCUGGGGCCUUGCCACCAGACUAUUUAGAUACAAGAAUCACAGCCACAUUGGAGAAACAGGUCUCAGUGGAUGCAGAUGGGAACUUUGACCCGAAACCUAUUAACACCAUGAACUUUUCCUUGCCUGAAAAAUUGGAAUAUAUUGUCACCAAGUAUGCCGAGCAUUCUCAUGACAAAUGGGCCUGUGACAAGAGUCACAGUGGAUGGAAAUAUGGAAUUUCCCUGGAUGAAAACGUGAAGACCCACCCACUGAUACGGCCCUUCAAGACAUUAACAGAGAAGGAGAAGGAAAUUUAUCGCUGGCCUGCCAGAGAAUCCCUGAAAACCAUGCUCGCUGUGGGCUGGACAGUGGAAAGGACCAGAGAAGGAGAAGCUUUGGUCCAACAAAGAGAGAAUGAGAAACUUCGGUGUGUGUCGAAUCAGGUCAACCAGGGUAACAGCUACAGCCCAGCCCCGCUGGAUCUCUCAAAUGUUGUGCUGUCCAGGGAGCUCCAGGGAAUGGUGGAGGUGGUGGCUGAGAACUAUCACAACAUCUGGGCCAAGAAGAAGAAGCAGGAGCUGGAGAGCAAAGGUGGUGGCAGUCACCCUCUCUUGGUACCCUAUGACACCUUGACUGCCAAGGAAAAGUUCAGGGAUCGAGAAAAGGCACAGGACCUGUUCAAAUUCCUCCAGGUGAAUGGCAUUAUAGUUUCUAGAGGUAUGAAGGACAUGGAGCUGGACGCCUCCUCCAUGGAAAAGAGAUUUGCCUAUAAGUUUUUGAAGAAGAUCCUGAAAUAUGUUGACUCUGCUCAAGAGUUUAUUGCUCACUUGGAAGCCAUUGUCAGCAGUGGGAAAACCGAAAAGUCUCCCCACGACCAGGAGAUCAAAUUCUUUGCCAAAGUUCUCCUCCCCCUGGUUGACCAGUACUUCACCAACCACCGCCUUUACUUCUUGUCAUCUCCUCUGAAGCCACUUAGCAGCAGUGGGUAUGCUUCCCAUAAAGAGAAAGAAAUGGUAGCCAGCCUGUUCUGCAAGCUGGCCGCUCUCGUGAGACACAGGAUCUCUCUCUUCGGGAGUGAUUCAACUACGAUGGUGAGCUGCCUUCACAUCUUAGCUCAGACGCUUGACACAAGGACUGUCAUGAAGUCGGGCUCAGAGCUGGUGAAAGCCGGGUUGCGCUCCUUCUUUGAAAAUGCAGCAGAAGACUUAGAGAAGACCUCCGAAAACCUGAAGCUGGGGAAGUUUACCCAUUCCAGAACGCAGAUCAAAGGUGUUUCUCAGAAUAUUAACUACACCACAGUGGCCCUGCUUCCCAUCCUGACAUCCAUCUUUGAGCACAUUGCUCAGCAUCAGUUUGGGGUGGAUCUACUCUUGGGUGACGUGCAGAUUUCCUGCUACCACAUUCUGUGCAGCCUCUAUUCCCUCGGGACUGGGAAAAACAUCUACGUUGAAAGGCAACGUCCGGCUCUUGGAGAAUGUCUGGCUUCCCUGGCAGCUGCCAUCCCAGUGGCAUUCCUGGAGCCCAACCUUAACCGCUAUAAUCCCCUCUCAGUCUUCAACACCAAGACUCCUAGGGAGCGGUCUAUUCUGGGGAUGCCAGACAAGGUGGAAGAGAUGUGUCCUGACAUCCCCCAGCUGGAAGGCCUGAUGAAGGAAAUCAAUAGCUUGGCUGAGUCAGGUGCCCGGUACAUGGAGAUGCCCCAUGUCAUUGAAGUGAUCUUGCCUAUGCUCUGCAACUACCUGUCUUACUGGUGGGAGCGGGGACCUGAGAACCUGCCGCCCAGCACAGGGCCCUGCUGCACCAAGGUCACAUCUGAACACCUCAGCCUCAUCCUGGGCAACAUCCUGAAAAUCAUCAACAACAACCUGGGCAUUGAUGAAGCCUCCUGGAUGAAGCGCAUCGCAGUGUACGCGCAGCCGAUCAUCAGCAAAGCCAGGCCUGACCUGCUGCGAAGCCACUUCAUCCCCACCCUGGAUAAGCUAAAGAAGAAGGCGGUCAAGACUGUGCAGGAGGAGGAGCAGCUGAAGACGGACGGCAAGGGGGACACCCAGGAGGCCGAGCUGCUCAUCCUGGACGAGUUUGCGGUCCUCUGCAGGGACCUCUACGCCUUCUACCCCAUGCUGAUCCGCUACGUGGACAACAACAGAUCUAACUGGCUCAAAAGCCCAGACACUGAUUCUGACCAGCUCUUCCGCAUGGUGGCCGAAGUCUUCAUUCUGUGGUGUAAAUCUCACAACUUCAAGAGGGAAGAGCAAAACUUCGUGAUUCAAAAUGAAAUUAAUAACUUGGCAUUUUUAACCGGAGACAGCAAAAGCAAGAUGUCAAAAUCUGGAGGACAGGACCAGGAGCGGAAGAAGACAAAGAGGCGAGGAGACUUGUAUUCCAUCCAGACCUCCCUCAUCGUGGCUGCUCUCAAGAAAAUGCUACCCAUUGGUUUGAACAUGUGUACUCCAGGCGACCAGGAGCUCAUCUCACUGGCAAAAUCACGCUACAGCUGUAGGGACACUGAUGAAGAGGUCAAGGAACAUCUGCGGAAUAACCUGCACCUGCAGGAAAAGUCAGAUGACCCGGCUGUGAAAUGGCAACUGAACCUCUACAAAGAUGUUCUGAGGAACGACGAACCUUCUAAUCCGGAAAAGACGGUGGAGCGAGUGCAGAGGAUCUCAGCCGCUCUCUUCCACCUGGAGCAGGUGGAACAGCCUUUGAGGUCCAAAAAGGCUGUGUGGCACAAAUUAUUGUCAAAGCAACGGAAACGGGCAGUGGUGGCCUGUUUCAGGAUGGCUCCUCUCUACAAUUUGCCCAGACACAAAAUUAACAAUUUCUUCCUGAUCACCUUUCAACGUGUUUGGCUGGAAAAGGUUAAUGAAAAAACUCAGUAUGACAGACUAAUACCCAUUUUAAUGAAAUCUCCCAGGGUUGAAGAGGAGGAAGAGGAAGAGACAGAAAAGCAGCCUGACCCACUUCACCAAAUCAUCCUGUAUUUUAGCCGCAACGCGCUCACGGAGAGGAGCAAAUUGGAAGAUGACCCUUUGUACACCUCCUACUCCAGUAUGAUGGCCAAGAGUUGUCAGAGUGCUGAGGAUGAAGACGAAGAUGAAGAGAGGGAAAAAACAUUUGAAGAGAAGGAGAUGGAGAAGCAGAAAACACUGUAUCAGCAAGCGCGCUUGCACGAACGUGGUGCCGCAGAGAUGGUCCUUCAGAUGAUAAGUGCCAGCAAAGGUGAGAUGAGUCCCAUGGUGGUUGAGACGCUGAAGCUGGGAAUUGCCAUUCUCAAUGGAGGCAAUGCUGGCGUGCAACAGAAAAUGCUAGAUUACUUAAAAGAGAAAAAAGAUGCCGGGUUCUUUCAAAGCCUUUCUGGUCUUAUGCAGUCUUGCAGUGUCCUUGAUUUGAAUGCAUUUGAGAGGCAGAAUAAAGCUGAAGGCCUGGGAAUGGUUACAGAAGAAGGAACACUCAUAGUUCGUGAGCGUGGUGAGAAAGUGCUCCAGAACGACGAGUUCACACAGGAUCUCUUCCGGUUCCUCCAGCUGCUUUGUGAAGGACACAACAGCGACUUCCAGAACUUUCUGAGGACUCAGAUGGGCAACACCACCACUGUGAACAUCAUAAUCAGCACCGUGGACUACCUUCUGCGUCUGCAGGAGUCCAUCAGCGAUUUCUAUUGGUACUACUCGGGAAAGGACAUCAUUGAUGAAUCUGGACAGCACAAUUUCUCUAAAGCUCUGGCAGUCACCAAGCAGAUCUUUAAUUCUCUUACAGAGUACAUCCAGGGCCCUUGCAUCGGGAACCAGCAGAGCCUGGCUCACAGUAGGCUGUGGGAUGCAGUGGUUGGAUUCCUCCAUGUGUUUGCUAACAUGCAGAUGAAGCUCUCUCAGGAUUCCAGUCAGAUCGAGCUGCUGAAGGAACUCUUGGAUCUCCUUCAGGACAUGGUGGUGAUGCUUCUGUCCCUACUGGAAGGAAAUGUGGUAAACGGAACUAUUGGAAAGCAGAUGGUUGACACACUGGUAGAAUCAUCCACUAAUGUAGAGAUGAUCUUGAAAUUCUUUGACAUGUUCUUGAAACUUAAAGACUUAACCAGCUCAGACACCUUCAAAGAAUAUGACCCGGAUGGUAAAGGGAUCAUCUCCAGGAAAGAAUUCCAGAAGGCCAUGGAAGGUCUAAAGCAAUACACACAGUCGGAGAUCGACUUCCUCCUUUCGUGUACAGAGGCUGACGAGAAUGACAUGUUUAAUUAUAUUGAUUUUGUAGAACGGUUCCACGAGCCAGCCAAGGACAUAGGGUUCAAUGUGGCCGUGUUACUGACCAAUCUCUCUGAACACAUGCCCAAUGAUUCUCGCUUGAAGUGCCUGUUGGACCCAGCAGAAAGUGUGCUAAAUUACUUUGAACCAUACCUGGGUCGAAUCGAGAUCAUGGGUGGGGCCAAGAAAAUUGAACGUGUUUAUUUUGAGAUCAGCGAAUCCAGUCGAACUCAGUGGGAAAAGCCUCAAGUGAAGGAGUCCAAGCGACAGUUCAUUUUUGAUGUCGUCAAUGAAGGUGGGGAGCAGGAGAAGAUGGAGCUGUUUGUGAACUUCUGCGAGGACACAAUCUUCGAGAUGCAGUUAGCAUCUCAGAUCUCAGAAUCCGACUCAACCGACAGACCGGAAGAGGAAGAGGAAGAGGGUGAAGAGUCUGCUUAUACGAUGGAAAUGGAAGGAGAGGCAGAGGAGGACAGGUCUAUGGAGCCUGCCUCUGCCUUUGCCAUGGCCUGUGCCUCAGCAAAGAGAAAUGUCACCAACUUUCUGAAGAGGGCAACGCUGAAGAACCUCAGGAAACAGUACCGAAAUGUCAAAAAGAUGAGUGCGAAGGAGCUGGUGAAGGUUUUUGUCUCUUUCUUCUGGAUGCUGUCUGUGGGCCUCUUCCAGCUGCUCCUCUCUAUCUUGGGAGGCAUCUUUCAGAUCCUCUGGAACACAGUGUUUGGUGGGGGCCUCGUUGAAGGGGCAAAGAACAUCCGAGUGACUAAGAUCCUAGGCGACAUGCCUGACCCCACCCAGUUUGGGAUCCAUGAUGACGCCAUGGAGGCGGACAGAGCAGACAUGAUUGAGCCGGGUGUCACCACUGAACUGGUCCACUUCGUAAAGGGGGAGCCGGGAGAUUCAGACAUCAUGUCCGACCUCUUUGGAAUCCACUCAAAGAAAGACAGUGGCUUAAAGCAAGGGCCUGAAGUGGGAUUGGGUGACCUCUCUGAAAUCGUCGGCAAGGAUGAGCCCCCUACAUUAGAGAGUACUGUGCGGAAGAAAAGGAAAGCACAGGCUGCAGAGAUGAAAGCAGUGCGUGAAGCCGAAGGAAAGGUUGAAUCCGAGAAGGCUGACAUGGAAGACAGAGAAAAGGAAGACAAAAUCAAGGAGGACAGACAAGCCGAGUACCUGUGGACAGAGAUGACUGUGAAGAAGACACGGCGGCGCGGCCAGAAGGCUGAGAAGCCGGAAGCCUUCAUGGCCAAUUUCUUCAAGGGACUGGAAAUCUAUCAGACCAAGUUACUGCACUACCUGGCCAGGAAUUUCUACAACCUGAGGUUCCUUGCUCUGUUUGUAGCCUUCGCUAUCAACUUCAUCCUGCUUUUUUAUAAGGUCACUGAAGAACCUUUGGAAGAAGAGACAGAGGAUGUUGCAAACCUGUGGAACUCCUUUAAUGAUGAAGAUGAGGACGAAGCAAUGGUAUUCUUUGUUCUUCAGGAGAGCACUGGGUAUAUGGCCCCAACCCUGCGUGCCCUGGCCAUUGUCCACACCAUCAUCUCUCUGGUCUGUGUGGUGGGAUAUUACUGCCUGAAGGUGAGCAUUCUAGCCAUCUGUCCCUCUGUGUCUUUUCUGACUUCUUGAGGAAGAAGUGUCAUUUUUGAGUUCCACCAGCUCUUUGUCCUCUUGCUUGAAGUGCAAAGCUGGUGGGACAUUACAAGUGUUGUCCCUCAGGGACUGCUUGCAACUGCAGGGUCUCAAUCAUCGACUUGAGGCUUCUAAAUGAAAAUCUGCAAAGUGAGCUAUAGACAAUCUUGCUGCAGGAGAAGCGUUCCAGACACCUCAGUAUCAGAGUCAUUACACCAAGGCACAAAGGACAUUAGCCAUAAGAGCUUCUUGUGAUCUCUGAGUUGCUGUCAGAUUUUUAUAAAAAGUACCUUUCCAUUGGGUCUCAAAUGACGACAACCUAAGAUAGAUCUCAGAGAUGUGCUCCAGUUUCAGUUACCUACAUAACAAACCACUCGAGCCCCUUCUCCCUCUCAGUCUGUGGACACGUCAGCCAUUCUCUGCUCCAUGCGAAAGGGUUAUGUCUGCAGUCUUUUGGGAUCUCAAGUAGGUGAGAAUGGCGAGGAUGGUGUGUUCCUGUGUCCAGAUGAACAGCUAGGAAGCAGGUCUCAGCUGGAAUAGUGGGAGUCCAUCUCCCCUCUCUCCAUGUAGACACAGAGCAUCUCCCACUCCUCAUGGCCCCUCCAUGUAAUCUCUGCAGGAGGGUGGACUUCUUUUCUGAAUGACUUAGAAUUUCCCUGAAGAUCACAGAAGUGGAAAAUGCUAGCCCCUCUGAAGAAUCAGGCCUGAGAUUAUCGAUGUCAUUUCCACCACCCUCUAUUGGUUAAAGCAAGUCACAUGAUGGCCCAGAUUCACAGUUGCCUUUGGAGGUUGCUCAAGUCAUAAACAAGGCAGCACCAUUCAUUUGGGCCACCUUUAGCUACGACUGCAGUUUGACGGUGUAAUCCAUCGUGGUGGGGAAGGUACAGCAGCGAGAGAUGGUCCAGCUGUGGUAGCAGGAGGGAGGCAGCUGUUCACACUGCCGUCAGAAAACCGCGAAUGUUGGUGAUCCACCCACUUUCUCCUUUUUACUCAGUCCAGGACCCGAGCCCCAUGGGAUAGUGUCAGCCACUUUCAGGGCAUAUCUUUCCUCAUCAGUUCAACCCUCAGGGUGUAUCUUUUCUCAUCACUUAAACUUACUCUCUGGAAACACCUUCACAGACAGGCCUAGUUGUCUGUCUCCUUGCAAUGCUAAGUCUUGUCAAGUUGAGAACCAAGCUUAACCAUCACACCAGUUUUUACAAGAACUUUAUUUUCGUUACAUUUUCCCCUUUAAUUUAUAGCAGUAAGUUAUCUUCUUGGAAUGAAUCCAAGAAAUAUAUUCCUAUCUUUGUGUCCCUUUCUUCUCCUGGUAAAAUAGCAACACGUGAGAACUCACCUCCUCUCCUGGAGAGAACACGUGAUGUGUUUCCCUGCUGGAGGGAGUCUGCCACUGUAACCCUUAAAGCGUGGACUCUGGAGCCAGGCUGUCUGGAUUGGACUCCUCACUGUUGGGCCAUGUGACCUUUUUAGUGCUGUUUCUACAUCAAAAAUGAGUAUUAGAAUAAUACUACAUUCCAGAAAAAUAAGUGCAUUCAUAUGUACAAAAAUACCAAGAAAAUGGGCAACAGUAAACCCAGAAGCAUGUUUGCUAUUUCUGGAUCUGAAAUCCAAGAGCUUGUGGGAUGAGGUGCAGAUACACUGGUGACCUGUAGAAGACAGAGUGGAUUAAAAUUCGAAAGAUGUGCAAACACCUUGAAGGACUAAGCGGAGUGUCUGUCACCUGGAUAUCAGGAGUGGACUGUAUCUUGGUGAUCACAUUAUUUUCUAGCAUCUUCCAAGCAGACAGCAGAUCAGCUUCAGCUCUGCUUCCCUGCCUGUGCCACCCGUGAGCCAGCAGCAGCCACUGGCUCCUCACGGUGUGUCACGCCCAGUGUCAGCCCCUUUGCCACCUUCCUGUCAUUGGUCUCCAGUAUUGUCUGCUGUUUUCAGGGAGGCAGGGGGGCAAGAAGUAAGGUUUUAGAAAUAAUUCUUGCCCUUUUGUCCCUGAAAUAACAGGGUAAGUGAUAUGAUUGUAAUGACCUUUGAGGAAAAACAUUAAAACAUAGUUUGGAAACUCAAGUCCCAAAGAUGUCACCAAGUAAUUAGAGACAUCCUAAAUAAAUUAGAUCCCUAGUCUGUGUAUAAAUGAUUAUUAUUUGUUUGGCUAGAAGAGAUCUAGCUAUUCUGACUUCUCAUUUCCUGGGAUUUCAAGAGCAUUUUCUGUCUUCUCUAAAUCUCCCAUUAGUUAAGGGUUGCUUGUAAUCCCUGUUUGUGCUGAUCUCUGGUUAUAUUUAUGUAUAACUUGAUUGGUUAAUUUUCCCAUUGCCCUGACAAAACACCCAAUAGAGGCAGUUUAGGAGAGGAAGGAUUUAUUUUGGUUCUUGGUGAAAUAGGAGGGUGAAAUAGGAGGACUGCCAUGAAUUUGAGAUCACACUAGACUAAAUCAUGAUUUCCAGACCAUAUUGAACUACAUAAAUAAGAUCUUGUCUUUAAAAAGUUACAAUUAUGUACUACAACUACCCAUAUACCCCUUUAAUUCAUGAUUUCAGCUACUCACAGUAAACUGUGGUCUCAAAUUAAGUAAAAGUUCAAUGAAUAAGCAACAUAUAAAUGUUAAAUUAUAUGCUAUUUUAAGUAGUAGGGUGAAGCUCUACACAAUCUUAUUCUGUCCUGUAUGGAGCAUAAAUCACCCCUUUGUCCAGUGUAUUCACACAGUAUAUUCUACCCCCCCCGCCCCCACCCCCUCCCGCUAGGCACUUAUCCCUCUCAGUUAUCACACUGAUUGGCAGGAUAGCACAGUGCUCAUAUUUGAGUAGUUCUUAUUUUACUUAAUAAUGGCAUCCAGAGUGCAAGGGUACUGAUACUGAACAUUCUGCAGUGCUAAAGAGAAGACAUAAAAUGGUCAAGUGAAGAUGUGACAGCUCUUAAUAAGGAAAGAAAAUCAGACGAGGUUGCUAAGAUCUACUGUCAGAGCAUCUCUAUCCAUAAAGUCAUGGAGCGGAAAAAGAGAAAAGUGAGCUCCUUUUUAACUGCUUUACUGCCACACCUCAGUCUGCAAAAGUCAAAGCCACAGCACGUAAUAGGCAGUUAAGAUGGAAAAGGCCAUCAACUUCAUAUAUGUCUAAGAGAAAGCACAGUGCAUACAAGUUCGGUUCUGCCCAUGUUUUCAGGGAUUCCCUGGGUGUUUGGGAAUGUGUCGCCCACAAAAUAGGCAGGUCUGUUGUGUAAGAGAAUGACAGGAUCUAGUAGCAGAGAAGAUCCAGUUCGCUGAAAGGAAGAAAACAUCAGUGUGUAGCGAGUACGCACAGAAUCCUUUGAACUCUGUCACUGUAACUGUCUAAACACAGUUCAUGCACUAACCUACGGCAUCAAUCUGACCCUCACUGCUGGUGACUGUUGGGAAACUGCCCACAUUCUUGGGGCUGACCAGUCUGUUCUAGAAUAGUUCAUUGUCCUUUCUAUUUCUUGGUUUAGUUCUGAGCCUGGAAGUCCUAGUAGACAAAUCCCAUUCAAGUCUGGAAGUAAACAUGGUCUUUUCAGGAUUUGUGCACAUCUUACUAUAGUCAGCUGUCUAACCUUCAAGGGUGGCUCAGAUCAGCUCAACUUUUGGAGGGGUAGGUGUAUUAGCCAAGGAGUGAAAUUUACUUAGUAUUGGCUGUACAGCUAGUUACUGUAAAAAUUCCAGUACAGGGCUUAGAGACAAGGCUCAACAGUUAAGAGCACUUGCUGCUCUUCCAGAAGAACUGGAUUUGAGCCCCAGCAACCACAUGGCCGCUCACAACCACCUGUUACUCAGUUUCAGGGCAUCUGAUGUUCUCUUCUGACCUCCUUGGGCACUAGGCAUGCAAAUGGAUCACAGACAUACAUGCUUGUAUUUAAUAUAUAGAUAUUAAAGUAUGCAUUAAAUCCCAGUAUAAAGGGUUACUGCCAUUACUCAGGAAGGUUGAUUUGUGACAGGUCCCGGGAAAGGAGCAUUAGGCACAAACCUCUAGGUAAUGAGUAUCUUUUCAUUUGCAGGUGCCUCUGGUAGUCUUCAAAAGGGAGAAAGAAAUUGCCAGGAAGCUAGAGUUUGAUGGUCUGUAUAUCACCGAACAGCCAUCUGAAGAUGACAUCAAGGGGCAGUGGGACCGCUUGGUGAUCAACACACCAUCUUUUCCUAAUAACUA